rnacentral:rRNA from 1 species
UACGUAGGGUGCGAGCGUUAAUCGGAAUUACUGGGCGUAAAGCGUGCGCAGGCGGCUUUGCAAGACAGAUGUGAGAUCCCCGGGCUCAACCUGGGAACUGCAUUUGUGACUGCAUGGCUAGAGUACGGUAGAGGGGGAUGGAAUUCCGCGUGUAGCAGUGAAAUGCGUAGAUAUGCGGAGGAACACCGAUGGCGAAGGCAAUCCCCUGGACCUGUACUGACGCUCAUGCACGAAAGCGUGGGGAGCAAACAGG